UCUAAUAUGGCAGAUUAGUGCAAUGAAUUUAAGUUUCAUAUAUAAAUACUUUAUUUUAUUAGAA
rnacentral:tRNA from 1 species